rfam:Vigna angularis cultivar Jingnong 6 scaffold223_41, whole genome shotgun sequence.
GAAUGGAAUGAUGAUUAUGAAUUCCCUAUUGGUUUGAUUGCCUCAAUGAUGGCGUUUUGUAUUAGCUCUAUCUGACCAUUC